rnacentral:snRNA from 21 species
GCCCUUCGGGGCAUUUGGUCAAUUUGAAACGAUACAGAGAAGAUUAGCAUGGCCCCUGCACUAAGGAUGACACGCUACUCAAAGAGACGCUACCAAUUUUU